rnacentral:rRNA from 1 species
AAUGAACGCUAGCGGCGUGCUUGAGGCAUGCAAGUCGAACGAGAAAAUUUUCUUCGGAGAAUGAGUAAAGUGGCGCACGGGUGAGUAUAACUUAGGUAAUGUACCUUUUCGCUGGGGACAACUUCGGGAAACCGAAGCUAAUACCGAAUAUUCCCAUAGGAACUGCGGUUCUUUUGGGGAAAGCCUUCGGGCGCGAAAAGAGCAGCCUGAGCCCCAUUAGCUUGUUGGUAGGGUAACGGCCUACCAAGGCGACGAUGGGUAGCUGGUCUGAGAGGAUGAUCAGCCACACUGGUACUGGAACACGGACCAGACUCCUACGGGAGGCAGCAGCUAGGAAUAUUGCGCAAUGGGGGAAACCCUGACGCAGCAACGCCGCGUGAGUGAGGAAGGCUUUCGGGUCGUAAAGCUCUUUUAUAAGGGAAGAAAAAAAUGACGGUACCUUAUGAAUAAGCACCGGCUAACUCCG